AAUUGAAAUAAUGCAGUGCAUGUUAUGACUUAUGCUCAACAAAGCAAAAAGUUCAGUUUGCAUUCUAUCCAAUUUCCUCUUGCAGUUGCUUCUGAUGACCCACAAACACCGACUAAAGAUCAGCUCCCAAAUAAGGAAAGAAAUGUAUCGGAUGUUUAAAGGAACAGAAGAAACGUGAUUGCUUCUGUGCAAUAUUUUCGAUCUUAAUGAGAAGUCCUCUGUAAAAGUGCUUUCAAACGAGCUCUGGUUGAACUAAUGUACUAAUUUGAAACACUUAUAUUUGUGUUACUGUAAAGUCUAGCCUAUUUCUGGGCACAUGGGAACAAAUGACAUCAGCAUUUUGUAUUGCUUUUUAAACCCAUAUAUAGGCUAGCUGAAAAUGUACUAUACUUUGUACUCAGGAUAUGACUAUGAAAGUGUGUUUCAAGUAUUGGUUGUCUUUGUUUUUGUAUCUAACCUGCUAAAUUGUAGCUAAUUUAGUUUUGAGUUUAUGUGAAUAUGAUCUGUAUCUUAAUACUUAGUCCUCUAGUAAAUGUUUUGCAUUCACUCUGGAAAAUUGUUAUUCACAAACAUUGCAAGCAUAAUGUUAAAUAUCUUUUGUAAGAGCAAUUUUUUUUAAAGUGAAUAAUUGUUAAAUUGAUACUGUACAUUUUGGUUUUGUUCAGAGAUUGACUUGUUUAUGCAAAUAGCAAUCUGGAUUGUAUCAAUACGUGAGAAUCAAAUAAUGUAUUAGUUUUUGUAAUUUUUUUGCUAUUUGUGUAGUAUAGUCAGUAUGUCUUUUUUUUAAUUGAACUAAAUAUGUCUUGUGUUUUAGGUUCAUGCAAAAUAAAGAUUUGUUUCUACAAUAAUUUAGAUUUGAA